rnacentral:rRNA from 1 species
CCUACGGGUGGCAGCAGUGAGGAAUAUUGGUCAAUGGACGCAAGCCUGAACCAGCCAUGCCGCGUGCAGGAAGACGGCCCUAUGAGUUGUAAACUGCUUUUGUACGAGGGUAAACGCAGAUACGCGUAUCUGUCUGACAGUAUCGUACGAAUAAGGAUCGGCUAACUCCGUGCCAGCAGCCGCGGUAAUACGGAGGUUUCGAGCGUUAUCCGGAUUUAUUGGGUUUAAAGGGUGCGUAGGCGGUCGGGUAAGUUAGAGGUGAAAGCCCGGGGCUCAACUUCGGAAUUGCCAUUGAUACUGUGUGGCUGGAGUGUAGUUGCGGUAGGCGGAAUGCGUGGUGUAGCGGUGAAAUGCUUAGAGAUCAUGCAGAACACCGAUUGCGAAGGCAGCUUACCAAACUGCUACUGACGUUGAGGCACGAAAGCGUGGGGAGCAAACAGGAUUAGAUACCCUAGUAGUC